UACGGAGGGUGCAACCGUUGCUCGGAAUCAUUGGGCGUAAAGCGCACGUAGGCGGCGCGUUAAGUCGGGUGUGAAAGCCCUGGGCUCAACCCAGGAAGUGCAUUCGAAACUGGCGCGCUUGAAUAUGGAAGAGGGUCGCGGAAUUCCCGGUGUAGAGGUGAAAUUCGUAGAUAUCGAGAGGAACACCGGUGGCGAAGGCGGCCUUCUGGACCGAUCACUGACGCUGAGGCGCGAAAGCUAGGGGAGCAAACGGG
rnacentral:rRNA from 1 species